UACGUAGGGGUCUAGCGUUGUCCGGAAUUAUUGGGCGUAAAGAGCUUGUAGGCGGUUUGUCGCGUCUGCUGUGAAAUUUCGGGGCUCAACCCCGAACUUGCAGUGGGUACGGGCAGACUAGAGUGUGGUAGGGGAGACUGGAAUUCCUGGUGUAGCGGUGAAAUGCGCAGAUAUCAGGAGGAACACCGAUGGCGAAGGCAGGUCUCUGGGCCAUAACUGACGCUGAGAAGCGAAAGCAUGGGGAGCGAACAGG
rnacentral:rRNA from 1 species